rnacentral:lncRNA from 1 species
AGAUAUAACUGACAGAAAAAAAAAAUUGAACCAUAUCCACCCACGAUUUUACAUGCUAAAGAUACGUGAGUGGUUAACUAGUCUAGACUUGAUCUGCAUAUCCUAGAAAAUAGGACUGCAUAAUAACCAACUUAUUUUAACAAACUGGAAACAGACUAAUAUAAAAUAAAUAUCUCCUAAACCAACCAACAUUCCCUCCCUUAAACUAUAUGCUAUGGCAUCUAGUUUAAUUUUGNAAUUUCAAUUAUGCCUAGCAUACUGCGAAGCUUUAAAAAUUGAUCNAC